AGAAUCAACGCUGGCGGCGUGCCUAACACAUGCAAGUCGAACGAGAAAGUGGAGCAAUCCAUGAGUAAAGUGGCGCACGGGUGAGUAACACGUGACUAACCUACCCUUGAGUGGGGGAUAACCUCGGGAAACCGGGGCUAAUACCGCAUAAUAUCGAGAGAUCAAAGGAGCAAUUCGCUUAAGGAGGGGGUCGCGGCUGAUUAGCUAGUUGGUAGGGUAAUGGCCUACCAAGGCUAUGAUCAGUAUCCGGCCUGAGAGGGCGCACGGACACACUGGAACUGAAACACGGUCCAGACUCCUACGGGAGGCAGCAGUGGGAAUUUUGCGCAAUGGGGGAAACCCUGACGCAGCAACGCCGCGUGGAGGAUGAAGUCCCUUGGGACGUAAACUCCUUUCGAUCGGGACGAUAAUGACGGUACCGGAAGAAGAAGCCCGGCUAACUUCGCGCCAGCAGCCGC
rnacentral:rRNA from 1 species